rnacentral:rRNA from 1 species
GGGGAAUAACAGCUGGAAACAGCUGCUAAUACCGCAUAAUAUGUCUGUGUCGCAUGGCACUGGACAUCAAAGAUUUAUCGCUCUGAGAUGGACUCGCGUCUGAUUAGCUAGUUGGCGGGGUAACGGCCCACCAAGGCGACGAUCAGUAGCCGGACUGAGAGGUUGGCCGGCCACAUUGGGACUGAGACACAGCCCAAACUCCUACGGGAGGCAGCAGUGGGGAAUAUUGGGCAAUGGGCGCAAGCCUGACCCAGCAACGCCGCGUGAAGGAAGAAGGCUUUCGGGUUGUAAACUUCUUUUCUCAGGGACGAAGCAAGUGACGGUACCUGAAGAAUAAGCCACGGCUAACUACGUGCCAGCAGCCGCGGUAAUACGUAGGUGGCAAGCGUUAUCCGGAUUUACUGGGUGUAAAGGGCGUGUAGGCGGGACUGCAAGUCAGAUGUGAAAACCACGGGCUCAACCUGUGGCCUGCAUUUGAAACUGUAGUUCUUGAGUACUGGAGAGGCAGACAGAAUUCCUAGUGUAGCGGUGAAAUGCGUAGAUAUUAGGAGGAACACCAGUGGCGAACGCGGUCUGCUGGACAGCAACUGACGCUGAGGCGCGAAAGCGUGGGGAGCA